GAUGAACGCUAGCGGCAGGCUUAAUACAUGCAAGUCGAGGGGCAGCAUGAAUGUAGCAAUACAUUUGAUGGCGACCGGCAAGCGGGUGUGGAACACGUACACAACCUUCCUAUAAGUGGGGAAUAGCCCAGAGAAAUUUGGAUUAAUACCCCGUAACAUAAUGAUGUGGCAUCACAUUAUUAUUAUAGCUUCGGCGCUUAUUGAUGGGUGUGCGGCUGAUUAGAUAGUUGGCGGGGUAACGGCCCACCAAGUCUACGAUCAGUAGCUGAUGUGAGAGCAUGAUCAGCCACACGGGCACUGAGACACGGGCCCGACUCCUACGGGAGGCAGCAGUAAGGAAUAUUGGUCAAUGGACGCAAGUCUGAACCAGCCAUGCCGCGUGAAGGAUUAAGGUCCUCUGGAUUGUAAACUUCUUUUAUCUGGGACGAAAAAAGGCUAUUCUUAGUCACUUGACGGUACCAGAUGAAUAAGCACCGGCUAACUCCGUGCCAGCAGCCGCAGUAACAC
rnacentral:rRNA from 1 species